UACGUAGGGGGCUAGCGUUGUCCGGAAUCAUUGGGCGUAAAGAGCGUGUAGGCGGUCCGGUAAGUCCGUUGUGAAAGUCAGGGGCUCAACCCUUGAAUGCCGGCGGAUACUGUCGGGCUAGAGUCCGGAAGAGGCGAGUGGAAUUCCCGGUGUAGCGGUGAAAUGCGCAGAUAUCGGGAGGAACACCGGUGGCGAAGGCGGCUCUCUGGAACGGUACUGACGCUGAGACGCGAAAGCGUGGGGAGCGAACAGG
rnacentral:rRNA from 1 species